rnacentral:rRNA from 1 species
UACGGAGGAUGCAAGCGUUAUCCGGAUUUAUUGGGUUUAAAGGGUGCGUAGGCGGCUUGGUAAGCGGGAGGUGAAAUGCCGGCGCUCAACGUCGGAAGUGCCUCCCGAACUGUCGGGCUUGAAUAGUCCUGCCGUGGGAGGAAUGUGUGGUGUAGCGGUGAAAUGCAUAGAGAUCACACAGAACACCGAUUGCGAAGGCAUCUCACGAAGGACCGAUUGACGCUGAGGCACGAAAGCGUGGGGAU